rnacentral:rRNA from 1 species
UAGGGAAUCUUCCGCAAUGGGCGAAAGCUUGACGGAGCAACGCCGCGUGAGUGAUGAAGGUCUUCGGAUCGUAAAACUCUGUUAUUAGGGAAGAACAAAUGUGUAAGUAACUAUGCACGUCUUGACGGUACCUAAUCAGAAAGCCACGGCUAACUACGUGCCAGCAGCCGCGGUAAUACGUAGGUGGCAUGCGUUAUCCGGAAUUAUUGGGCGUAAAGCGCGCGUAGGCGGUUUUUUAAGUCUGAUGUGAAAGCCCACGGCUCAACCGUGGAGGGUCAUUGGAAACUGGAAAACUUGAGUGCAGAAGAGGAAAGUGGAAUUCCAUGUGUAGCGGUGAAAUGCGCAGAGAUAUGGAGGAACACCAGUGGCGAAGGCGACUUUCUGGUCUGUAACUGACGCUGAUGUGCGAAAGCGUGGGGAUCAAACAGG